UAGUCCACGCCGUAAACGAUCAUCACUCGCUGUUGGCGAUAUACUGUCAGCGGCCAAGCGAAAGUAUUAAGUGAUGCACCUGGGGAGUACGCCGGCAACGGUGAAACUCAAAGGAAUUGACGGGGGCCCGCACAAGCGGUGGAGCAUGUGGUUUAAUUCGAUGAUACGCGAGGAACCUUACCAGGGCUUAAAUGUAGUAUGACCGGUCUGGAAACAGACCUUCUCUUCGGAGCAGAUUACAAGGUGCUGCAUGGUUGUCGUCAGCUCGUGCCGUGAGGUGUUAGGUUAAGUCCUGCAACGAGCGCAACCCCUAUUCUUAGUUGCCAGCGGUUCGGCCGGGGACUCUAAGAAGACUGCCGGUGACAAACCGGAGGAAGGUAAGGAUGACGUCAAGUCAGCAUGCCCCUUAUGCUCUGGGCUACACACGUGCUACAAUGGCAGAUACAAACCGUUUGCAAAGCCGCGAGGUUGAGCUAAUCGGUAAAACACUGUCCCAGUCCGGAUUGG
rnacentral:rRNA from 1 species